GCUGGUCGCAAAGUGAAAAUACGCAAGAAUAAAAUGUGUGAAUUGAGUCAAAAGUUCUAAAUUUAAAUAAAAAUGAUGAACAAAAUGGAGAAUGCAAGAAUCGGCCAAUGAUAUAGAGGUAUGUACUGUUGCCUCCAGACUCCAGUCACCGUUGUUGCAGUUUCGGAAAUACAAAUCGGAAGCAUUGAAGGCGGAAGCAUGGAAAAUAUGAAGAAAGCUGUGAUUGCCACAAUACAAACUGGUAAUGGAAUAUUCUUCAUCUGGCAGCAAUGAUGAAAGGGAUCAAAUUAUUGUGGACAAAAUAACACCAUGUGAUGCUGAGCUUAUUACUUUGUAUUUUAUUUGCUUCUUUUUCUAUUUAAUACGAGAUAACUCAACUGAAAAAAUUUGUACUUUUUGUGAUU